AAAUAAGAACUUUAACAUUUUUACAUUCAAGGUCACAGUGACCUUGACCUUCAAAUGAAUGACCUUGAAAUGUCCAGUGGUUACUUACUAGUUCUGGCCAACCUUCAUGUCAAGUUUCAAGACUCUAGGUCCAAGCAUACCAAAGUUAUAACAACUUUAACAUUUUUACAUUCAAGGUCACAGUGACCUUGACCUUCAAAUGAAUGACCUUGAAAUGACCAGUGGUUACUAACUAGUUAUGGCCAACCUUCAUGUCAA